rnacentral:rRNA from 1 species
GCAUAUCAUAGCGAGAAAGAACCACAGGAUUGCCCUAGUAACGGCGAGUGAAGCGGCAACAGCUCAAAUUUGAAAUCUGGUCCCCUGCCGGGGGCCCGAGUUGUAAUUUGCAGAGGAUGUCUUCUGGCGCGGUGCCUUCCGAGUUCCCUGGAACGGGACGCCAUAGAGGGUGAGAGCCCCGUACUGGUUCGGAUACCAAGCCUGUGUGAAGCUCCUUUCGACGAGUCGAGUAGUUUGGGAAUGCUGCUCUAAAUGGGAGGUAAAUCUCUUUCUAAAGCUAAAUACCGGCCAGAGACCGAUAGCGCACAAGUAGAGUGAUCGAAAGAUGAAAAGCACCUUGAAAAGGGGGUUAAACAGUACGUGAAAUUGUUGAAAGGGAAGCGCUCAUGACCAGACUUGUGCCGGGCGGCUCAGCAGGCGGUUCUGCCCCUGUGUACUCCGUCCCGGCCCAGGCCAGCAUCGGUUCUCGCCGGGGGAUAAGAACGGUGGGAACGUGGCCCCCCCUCGGGGGGGUGUUAUAGCCCGCCGUAACGAUACCCUGGCGGGGACCGAGGUUCGCGCAUUCCGCAAGGAUGCUGGCGUAAUGGUUAUCAGUGACCCGUCUUGAAACACGGACCAAGGAGUCGUCCUUUUAGAGCGAGCGUCUGGGUGGCAAAACCCCGCACGCGUAAUGAAAGUGAAAUCAGGUGAGAGCCCUCGCGGGCGCAUCAUCGACCGAUCCUUGAUGUUCUCGGACGGAUUUGAGUAAGAGUUCUAACGGACGGACCCGAAAGACAGUGAACUUAUGCUUGUAUAGGGUGAAGCCAGAGGAAACUCUGGUGGAGGCUCGCAGCGGUUCUGACGUGCAAAUCGAUCGUCAAAUAUGAGCAUGGGGCGAAAGACUAAUCGACUGUCUAGUAGCUUGCUACGCGAAGU